rnacentral:rRNA from 1 species
AUUGAACGCUGGCGGCAGGCUUAACACAUGCAAGUCGAGCGGGGUGAUGGUGCUUGCACUAUCACUUAGCGGCGGACGGGUGAGUAAUGCUUAGGAAUCUGCCUAUUAGUGGGGGACAACAUCUCGAAAGGGAUGCUAAUACCGCAUACGUCCUACGGGAGAAAGCAGGGGAUCUUUAUGACCUUGCGCUAAUAGAUGAGCCUAAGUCGGAUUAGCUAGUUGGUGGGGUAAAGGCCUACCAAGGCGACGAUCUGUAGCGGGUCUGAGAGGAUGAUCCGCCACACUGGGACUGAGACACGGCCCAGACUCCUACGGGAGGCGGCAGUGGGGAAUAUUGGACAAUGGGGGGAACCCUGAUCCAGCCAUGCCGCGUGUGUGAAGAAGGCCUUAUGGUUGUAAAGCACUUUAAGCGAGGAGGAGGCUCUUUUGGUUAAUACCCAGAAUGAGUGGACGUUACUCGCAGAAUAAGCACCGGCUAACUCUGUGCCAGCCGCCGCGGUAACAC